rnacentral:rRNA from 1 species
AUUGAACGCUGGCGGCAUGCUUUACACAUGCAAGUCGAGCGGCAGCGCGGGCUUCGGCCUGGCGGCGAGUGGCGAACGGGUGAGUAAUGCAUCGGAACGUGCCCAGUAGUGGGGGAUAGCCCGGCGAAAGCCGGAUUAAUACCGCAUACGACCUGAGGGUGAAAGCGGGGGACCGAAAGGCCUCGCGCUAUUGGAGCGGCCGAUGUCGGAUUAGCUAGUUGGUGGGGCAAAGGCUUACCAAGGCGACGAUCCGUAGCUGGUCUGAGAGGACGACCAGCCACACUGGGACUGAGACACGGCCCAGACUCCUACGGGAGGCAGCAGUGGGGAAUUUUGGACAAUGGGGGCAACCCUGAUCCAGCCAUGCCGCGUGCGGGAAGAAGGCCUUCGGGUUGUAAACCGCUUUUGUUCGGGAAGAAAUCCUCUGGGCUAAUACCCCGGGGGGAUGACGGUACCGGAAGAAUAAGCACCGGCUAACUACGUG